UACGAAGGGGGCUAGCGUUGUUCGGAAUUACUGGGCGUAAAGCGUAUGCAGGCGGAUCAUUAAGUCGGGGGUGAAAUCCCGAGGCUCAACCUCGGAACUGCCUUCGAUACCGAUGAUCUUGAGUCCGGGAGAGGUGAGUGGAACUGCGAGUGUAGAGGUGAAAUUCGUAGAUAUUCGCAAGAACACCAGUGGCGAAGGCGGCUCAUUGGCCCGGUACUGACGCUGAGAUACGAAAGCGUGGGGAGCAAACAGG
rnacentral:rRNA from 1 species